rnacentral:tRNA from 1 species
GCGCCCAUAGCUCAAUUGGAAGAGCAACUGACUCUUAAUCAGUAGGUUCGGGGUUCGAGGCCCUGUGGGCGCACCA